CCUACGGGCGGCAGCAGUGAGGAAUAUUGGUCAAUGGCCGAGAGUCUGAACCAGCCAAGUAGCUUGAAGGAUGACUGCCCUACGGGUUGUAAACUUCUUUUAUAUGGGAAUAACAUGUUCCACGUGUGGGAUUUUGUAUGUACCAUAAGAAUAAGGAUCGGCUAACUCCGUGCCAGCAGCCGCGGUCAUACUGUGGAUGCGAGCGUUAUCCGGAUUUAUUGGGUUUAAAGGGAUCGUAGGUGGAUUGUUAAGUCAGUUGUGAAAGUUUGCGGCUCAAACGUAAAAUUGCAGUUGAAACUGGCAGUCUUGAGUACAGUAGAGGUAGGCGGAAUUCGUGGUGUAGCGGUGAAAUGCUUAGAUAUCACGAAGAACUCCGAUUGCGAAGGCAGUUCACUGGACUGCAACUGACACUGAGGCUCGAAAGUGUGGGUAUCAAACAGGAUUAGAUACCCGAGUAGUC
rnacentral:rRNA from 1 species